rnacentral:lncRNA from 1 species
CUCUCAUCGUGUUCUUAUAAUAUACGAAAUAAGCACAAGGCCGUGACGCACGAAAUAAAAGAUCACUGCAGAUCCUCUGCAGCCUCAAUUGCACGAACUUCCUACAGCCUCCACCAGUCCUCGCCUCUCGCCAAUUAAAUUAAAUAAACCUCAGAUGUCACCCAUACGUGGCGGCUUCUGGGAGCGUUAGGAGAACCCAUGAUGUCGCAAGUGACGAGUCC